UGAAUGCACUAACUGUAAGUCGCUCUGGAUAAGAGAGUCUGCUAAAUGACUAAAA
rfam:Salmo salar isolate Sally breed double haploid chromosome ssa09, whole genome shotgun sequence.